rnacentral:lncRNA from 1 species
CCAAUAUUCAAUGCUUACCAUACCCUUUUCAUGUCUCCUCUCUCUCUCUCAUUCAUUGAUGAGAAUCUCUUAAAUUCACUCUACCAAAGAGCAUAAGAUCCCCGCCUAUUAAUGCGUCUUGAUCUCUUCAUUACCCUAUAACCUAUUCUUCUUUCACGAGUCUUAAAACCCUUUCUUCUUCAUCUUGUUCUAUGACCAUCACUUCAAGUUGAAGGUAAGCUUACUUCACCAUUGUUCUGAAACUCAUGUAUUGAUUUUGAGUGCGAUCGAGAUAUUGGUGCGGUUCAAUCAGAUAGAGCUUCACUCUUAAAAAAACAGGAAAUAGUAGAGUUGUGUUUUAUUUGAUUGAGCCGUGCCAAUAUCACGCACAGUAGCUCAUGGUUUCUGUCAAGGGAGGUCGUUAUAUAAGUCAGUAUCAGAUUCUCAAUGAAGGUAUUAUUCUCAGGAUGUCUAUAUAGUAGGGCAUGAGUUUGAGGUAAACCAAAAUUAAUACCGAACAUUACCUCCAUUAAGGGUCCGAGACUGUCCCAUUGAGCGAGCUACCCUCAACAGGUAUAUAUACACACACCCUUUUUUCUCUUAAACCUGCAAUGGAUUAUUAGGCUAUUAGACUCUCUUUUUUGGCCAUAUAUACAAAAUGAUUAUAAUCUAAACCCUCUCUCUUUUGAUAAGAUUUUGAAUAUGCAGGCUUUAUAUUGUGUAGUAUAUGUAUAUAUAUCAUGUGUGGAGUUGCAUGCAGAGCUUUCAUGGAGGUUUUAAGUGGGGGUGCAUCAUACCUCAAGGAGAAAAAAGGACCAUUUCAAAGUUACUGAGUUUUUUUUCUGGAAGGCAAUUAGAGCGGUAGAGUAGUAGGUAGGAUAAAUACAUUCUAGUGUAAAAGGUUUACAACUUUUUUGACAAAUUGAUAUGGGCAGUUUGACAAGGCUUCUUUAUAACACACUCCAUGUAUGUAUGUAAGUAUGUAUGUACGAACGAAAGAUAAAACAAUUGGAGGUCUAUAUUAAUGAAUGCCAACACUUCAUUUCCAAUGACCAUUUCAACGUACUAAUUAAUGUUAUAUAUUAAUUUAAUUUAAUUUUCGAC